rnacentral:rRNA from 1 species
CCUACGGGAGGCAGCAGUGGGGAAUAUUGGGCAAUGGAGGAAACUCUGACCCAGCGACGCCGCGUGCGGGAUGAAGGCCUUCGGGUUGUAAACCGCUUUCAGCAGGGAAUAAGCGCAAGUGAAGGUACCUGCAGAAGAAGCACCGGCUAACUAUGUGCCAGCAGCCGCGGUAAUACAUAGGGUGCAAGCGUUGUCCGGAAUUAUUGGGCGUAAAGAGCUCGUAGGUGGUUUGUUACGUCGGAUGUGAAAAUCAGGGGCUCAACCCCUGACCUGCAUUCGAUACGGGCAAGCUGGAGUUUGGUAGGGGAGACUGGAAUUCCUGGUGUAGCGGUGGAAUGCGCAGAUAUCAGGAGGAACACCGAUGGCGAAGGCAGGUCUCUGGGCCAAUACUGACACUGAGGAGCGAAAGCGUGGGGAGCGAACAGGAUUAGAUACCCUGGUAGUCCACGCCGUAAACGGUGGGCACUAGUUGUGCGAACCUUCCACGGUUUGUGCGACGCNGCUACGCAUAGUGCCCGCCGUCGGGAGGUACGAGUCGCGAGAGUUAAACGUACGAAUUAGUUAAGUUAGUUACGGCGUGAGACGUUGCCGACGGACGACGACGAGGGGAGGUUAGG